rnacentral:rRNA from 1 species
UGACCUCGGAUCAUGUAG